rnacentral:rRNA from 1 species
AGCAGCCGCGGUAAUUCCAGCUCCAAUAGCGUAUAUUAAAGUUGUUGCAGUUAAAAAGCUCGUAGUUGAAUUUCAGGCCUGGCUGGACGGUCCGCCCUUCGGGUGAGUACUGUCUGUGGUCGGGUCCUACCUUCUGGCGAAGCGUCAUGGCCUUAACCGGCCGUGGCGGGGAACCAGGACUUUUACUGUGAAAAAAUUAGAGUGUUCAAAGCAGGCAAAUCGCUUGGAUACAUUAGCACGGAAUAAUGGAAUAGGACAAUGGUUCUAUUUGUUGGUUUCUAGGACCGUUGUAAUGAUUAAUAGGGAUGGUUGGGGGCAUUAGUAUUCAAUUGUCAGAGGUGAAGUUCUUGGAUUUAUUGAAGACUAACUACUGCGAAAGCAUUUGCCAAGGAUGUUUUCAUUAAUCAAGAACGAAAGUUAGGGGAUCGAAGACGAUCAGAUACCGUCGUAGUCUUAACCAUAAACUAUGCCGACUAGGAAUCGGGCGAUGUUGAAAAAAUGACGC